GCCUGGGUGGUUCAGUUGGUUGAGCAUCUGACUUCAGCUCAGGUCAUGAUCUCACAGGCUGUGAGUUCGAGCCCCGCAUCGGGCU
rnacentral:tRNA from 1 species